rnacentral:rRNA from 1 species
UGGGGAAUUUUGGACAAUGGGGGAAACCCUGAUCCAGCCAUCCCGCGUGUGCGAUGAAGGCCUUCGGGUUGUAAAGCACUUUUGGCAGGAAAGAAACGUCAUGGGCUAAUACCCCGUGAAACUGACGGUACCUGCAGAAUAAGCACCGGCUAACUACGUGCCAGCAGCCGCGGUAAUACGUAGGGUGCAAGCGUUAAUCGGAAUUACUGGGCGUAAAGCGUGCGCAGGCGGUUCGGAAAGAAAGAUGUGAAAUCCCAGAGCUCAACUUUGGAACUGCAUUUUUAACUACCGGGCUAGAGUGUGACAGAGGGAGGGGGAAUUCCGCGUGUAGCAGUGAAAUGCGUAGAUAUGCGGAGGAACACCGAUGGCGAAGGCAGCCUCCUGGGAUAACACUGACGCUCAUGCACGAAAGCGUGGGGAGCAAACAGG